AAGAUGGCCUAACAAAUAACCAGCCAUAAAAAAACCUAAAGAAGCCGUAAAUUUUAGUCAUCCUCCUCAACUUUCAAUUUUCUGUUGUGGAAUUUCUUCAUUGGGUUUGAUCUGCCGCUCACAACAUCCUUGUAGAGGAAUUCAGAGUUCAGGUGAGGAAGAAGAACAGAGAGAGUCAUGAGUUACGUAUUGCCGACAUUGACGAAGAAGCAGGAGGUGGAUUCCUUCAUCCGAUCCACCAUCGACAAAGUCCUCGUCCUCCGCUUCGGCCGCUCCUCCGAUUCCGCUUGCCUUCUCCUCGACGACGUUCUCGCCAAAACGGCGCGGGAGGUCUCCAAGUUCGCCACGGUCGCGCUUGUCGAUGCCGAUUCGGAGGAAAUUCAAGUCUACGUCAAGUAUUUCGACAUCGCUCUGAUCCCGUCUACCAUCUUCUUCUUCAAUGCCCACCACAUGAAGAUGGAUUCCGGAACUGCGGACCACACCAAAUGGGUCGGCCCGUUUCAGCAGAAACAGGACUUUAUCGAUGUUGUCGAGGCGAUUUUCAGAGGAGCGAUGAAGGGGAAGAUGAUCGUGAAUUGCCCCCUUCCACCGGAGCGAAUACCCAAAUACCAGUUGCUCUACAAAGAUGUGUAGAAGCUCUACACAUUAAAGAUAACAAAGAGGAGUAUGUGAGAUGCUAAAUGGGGUGUGUGAAAAUCAUCUCCUUAGAGAUAAUAUUCAUUUUGCCAAUCCGUAUUAGUGAGCAUUAAUUUGUGGAUUUGGAUUGUGUGUUCUUCUUUCGGAGACAACUUUGGUUAAUAGAGUCAGUUACUUGAAUGUGUUUUGUACGUCCAAAUGAGGAGAGAGAGUAAGUUACAUAGAACGGAUUCACUGCCACAGUGGAGUUCUGGCAUUGUAUUAUUGAACCGGGACUUAGUGACAAUGAACCCAUGCCAUAUAGAUACUUGAUCAGAAUGAAGAGCAAACUGCUGUUUUUCAAUUGUGAAUUUGAUCGAAGAAAAUUAACUGGUUUUCUUCUGGAAGGUUGUCUUCUUCGGUUCUCUUAUUUGUAGCUUUGGCACACUUACUAACCUCAAGGAAUUUUUGUUCUCAGCCAUGUUUGAUUUUCUGGAAAAAUUCACCGCUGACGAAGGAAGCAGGGGUUCAUGGCCCUACUACAUGGUUUUGCGCCAGGAAAGGCGAAGGACGUUGGUGAAAUUUUUUUGACAUGGCCAACAUUUUGAAGUUCUAGAGCAUGAUAUACAACUCCAUUUGCACUAGGCCUAGAUUUGUUUGGUAGUCCUAACAGAACUGUAAGCCACCGGACUCACAAGAGUCACCAAGGAGGACAUUUAGAUUGAGCGCUGUUAUUUGUAUCCAUCAGUUCUAUUUUCCGAUUCACCUACUCAUGAAAGUCGUCAUGUGAACGAAUUUGAUAUGUAAACAAUCAAUCUGACACCCUUUCCAAGUGUAAUUUGUGGUGUAUUUCUAUAUGUUUAUAGUAGAGAUGACUUUUCUUGAAA